GUUCUGUGCACACCCAGAGGCAAAAGAAGAUAAUUUCCCCGACUGUGGAAUUUGCUAGAACAGCUAAGGAAGUGACGAGAAAAACAGGGAAGAGUACUGAACUGGAGUCGGUUUGUUUUGCUCUUAACUAGCUAGGGUUCAGAAGCCUGAAGACUAUAUUUCCCAGACCUCCUUGUCAGCUUCGGGUGGCAGCAGCAGCAGGCGAUGGAAGGUGACCAUAGGCCGCUGUAACACGAUGAGGAGACUGAGGCUAAUGGACACAGAGUGACUUGUCCAAGAUCACAAAGUGAGGUGGUGGUAAAGUAGGGACAUGAACCACAUUUUUCUGAUGCCUCAAUCCACACGUUUAACUCUACCCCUCAAGGACUAUCCUGCUACCCCCAUUGGAUUAUUUUAUUGAGGUUAUUUGGGUGCCUAGCAAUGAGGUCUUCCUCCUCUGUGCUGUGUAAGACUAAUUUCACCAGGCCCUCUUCCUUAGGACACUCUUUCUCCAGGACCCUUGUUUCCUUGCCUCUUGA